ACAUUGGUGGUUCAGUGGUAGAAUUCUCGCCUGCCACGCGGGAGACCCGGGUCCGAUUCCCGGCCAAUGCA
rnacentral:tRNA from 3 species